AUGUCGGAGCACGGCCAGGGAGUGGAGGAGGGUCGCCGGAAAGCGGCCAGGAAGUGUUGGAAGGCGACAAAGACGGCGGUGAUCAAGGACACGUGGGUGCCGCUGUUGACGCUGCCGUGGAAAUGCGCGUUGAACUGUCUAUGCUGCAGUUGCAGGCAGGCCGGGAUAGAGGCGUCCUGCUGGGUGUGGCAGUGCGUCCAGUGCUGGACGCCUCUCAGCCUCACCGUCCUCUUGCUCUGGCUCCUCUACCGCCCCGACCGCUUCCACCCCACCGUCGACUCCGCCUCCCUCGCCUCCCUCGACCUCAACGGCAACUCCCUCCGGUACAACCUCGCCGUCGACCUCAGUUUCCGAAACUCCAACAGACUGCUCAGCAUCAGCUACCUCGAUGUGGGUGCCAGCGCCUCCUACAACGGCACCAGCCUUGGUCUGGCCGGGAACUCGCUCCCAGGUUCCUUCCGGCAGGGAGCCAACAACACCACGGUGCUGCACGCGGUUUUCCAGGGCAUGGUCAUGGUGGCUGACGUGCAAGUGCAAGAGGGGUUGGCCAAGGAGCUGGAGAGGGAGCGGGGCUCUGGGGCGGUGCGUGUGAGGGUGCACGUGGAUCUCACCAUCAUGUACAAGGUGAUUGUGAAGGAGAUCUUCUUCUACAGCUAUGAGUGCUACCUACCAUUCACCCCGCUGCCGAAUGCCGUCUUCCUCAGCGACAGCGCGCCGUGUUUCCGCGUUUGA
rnacentral:rRNA from 1 species